UACGUAGGGGGCAAGCGUUGUCCGGAUUUAUUGGGCGUAAAGAGCGUGUAGGCGGCCAGAUAGGUCAGCUGUGAAAACUCGAGGCUCAACCUCGAGAUGUCGGCUGAAACCAUCUGGCUAGAGUCCGGAAGAGGAGAAUGGAAUUCCCGGUGUAGCGGUGAAAUGCGCAGAUAUCGGGAAGAACACCCGUGGCGAAGGCGGCUCUCUGGGACGGUACUGACGCUGAGACGCGAAAGCGUGGGGAGCGAACAGG
rnacentral:rRNA from 1 species